GCUGAUCCAGCUAUGGAGAAAGCCGCAGGUAGGAGGCCAGGAGAAAUCCUCUGCAGGGGACUUUGGGACAGGCAAGGGGCCGACUUGGAGGCUGAAGCUUUGGGACCAGGGCACACUUGAUUUUGGGGCUUGGAGCCCUGAGGCAGUUUAUGCCAAUGGAAGAGGCACAUCUGGGGAGAAGAAUGUGACUCUCCUCCUCUCACCCACUUCUUUGCCCAGUAGAUCUGCAGGACACAGCCUCGUUAACUCUGAAGUUUAAGUUUAACCCAAAGCUGGGCAUUGAUAAUCCUGUCCUCUCCCUGGCCGAAGACCACAACCCCUAUGGUAACUCCCUCACCCCCUGGCAACCAUUCCCUUUCCCUGGAGGCACCACAGCUCCACACGGCCUCCGAUCUCCUUGGUAACCACUUGCUCGGUCUCCCUCUGAUAACAGCCUUGGUUGGGGGUAGAGAUAGGAGGGGCCAGGCGUUUUCUCCUGUUCCAGUCCCUCUGUCCACGAACCCCACCACCCAACACCCAACCAGGCAGAAACUGCCCAGCGCCCUAUCAGGACACAGGGUCUGCCAGGCACAU
rnacentral:sRNA from 1 species